rfam:Danio rerio chromosome 22, GRCz11 reference primary assembly.
GCCCCAGUGGCAUAAUGGAUAAGGCACUGGCCUCCUAAGCCAGAGGUUGUGGGUUCGAGUCCCAUCUUGGGUG